rnacentral:rRNA from 1 species
UACGUAGGCAGCGAGCGUUGUUCGGAGUUACUGGGCGUAAAGGGUGUGUAGGCGGUUGUUUAAGUUUGGUGUGAAAUCUCCCGGCUCAACUGGGAGGGUGCGCCGAAUACUGAAUGACUAGAGUGCGGGAGAGGAAAGUGGAAUUCCUGGUGUAGCGGUGAAAUGCGUAGAUAUCAGGAGGAACACCGGCGGUGUAGACGGCUUUCUGGACCGUAGCUGACGCUGAGACACGAAAGCGUGGGUAGCAAACAGG